UACGUAGGCAGCGAGCGUUGUUCGGAGUUACUGGGCGUAAAGGGUGUGUAGGCGGUUGGAUAAGUGUGGUGUGAAAUCUCCCGGCUUAACUGGGAGGGUGCGCUACAAACUGUCUGACUAGAGUGUGGGAUGGGAGAGUGGAAUUCCUGGUGUAGCGGUGAAAUGCGUAGAUAUCAGGAGGAACACCGGUGGUGUAGACGGCUCUCUGGACCAUAACUGACGCUGAGACACGAAAGCGUGGGUAGCAAACAGG
rnacentral:rRNA from 1 species